rnacentral:rRNA from 1 species
GAUUAACGCUGGCGGCGUGCAUAACACAUGCAAGUCGAACGAUGAAACUCAUUAGAUUUCUUCGGAAUGAAAAUGAAUGGAUUAGUGGCGAACGGGUGAGUAACGCGUGAGUAACCUGCCUUACACAAGGGGAUAGCCUCUGUAAACGGAGAAUAAUACCCUAUGAAACCAGACAAUCGCAUGAUAAUCUGGUCAAAAUGUUUAGUGGUGUAAGAUGGACUUGCGUCUGAUUAGCUAGUUGGUGAGAUAAAAGCUCACCAAGGCAACGAGCAGUAGCCGGCUGGUGAGAGUGUACGGCCAGAUUGGGACAGAGACACGGCCCAGACUCCGACGGGAAGCAGCAGAGGGGAAUUUUGCGCAGUGGGGGAAACCCUGAUGCAGCGACGCCGCGUUAUUUAGAAGGCCUUCGGGUAGUAAAAAUCUUUUGUAUAGGAAGAAAAUGACGGUACUAGAUAAAUAAGGUCCGGCUAAUUACGUG